rnacentral:rRNA from 1 species
GCCAGACUCCUACGGGAGGCAGCAGUGGGGAAUAUUGGGCAAUGGGCGCAAGCCUGACCCAGCAACGCCGCGUGAAGGAAGAAGGCUUUCGGGUUGUAAACUUCUUUUGUCAGGGACGAAGCAAGUGACGGUACCUGACGAAUAAGCCACAGCUAACUACGUGCCAGCAGCCGCGGUAAUACGUAGGUGGCAAGCGUUAUCCGGAUUUAUUGGGUGUAAAGGGCGUGUAGGCGGGAAUGCAAGUCAGAUGUGAAAACGAUGGGCUCAACCCCUAGCCUGCAUUUGAAACGGUGUGUCUUGAGGGCUGGAGAGGCAAUCGGAAUUCCGUGGGGAGCGGUGAAAUGCGUA